UUCAGGGUAGUAAAUAUAAUACGUAAGCUUUAGGAGCUUGAGAAAAGGUUUAACCUUUCUUGAAA
rnacentral:tRNA from 1 species